rnacentral:tRNA from 1 species
GCCGUGGUGGCGAAAUUGGUAGACGCGCACGCUUGAGGGGCGUGUGGGAGCAAUCCUGUGGAGGUUCGAGUCCUCUCCACGGCACCA